GAAAAACCUGGAGGAACAAUUGAGGAGGAGACAGAUGGCAUAUGGGAAGCUUGUGGGACAGAAGGGUCGGGAGAUCCUAUGCAGAGUGCGACCUUGCCUUGUGCGUAUCGUUCAGCGGCUACUUUGGCCUUGUUACGCUCCUUGACUUCAUCCCACCAUUCUGGAUAGCCAUGUAAUUUAAAACAAUCAGUUACAAAGUGAUUCGUGCUAUUGCAAUGAGUACACCUUUCGCCAUUUUGAGGUUUAACUCGUUGUGG
rnacentral:lncRNA from 1 species